UCCUGACUGACCGAUAGUGAACCAGUACCGUGAGGGAAAGGCGAAAAGAACCCCGGCGAGGGGAGUGAAAAAGAACCUGAAACCGUGUACGUACAAGCAGUGGGAGCACGCUUAGGCGUGUGACUGCGUACCUUUUGUAUAAUGGGUCAGCGACUUAUAUUCUGUAGCAAGGUUAACCGAAUAGGGGAGCCGAAGGGAAACCGAGUCUUAACUGGGCGUUAAGUUGCAGGGUAUAGACCCGAAACCCGGUGAUCUAGCCAUGGGCAGGUUGAAGGUUGGGUAACACUAACUGGAGGACCGAACCGACUAAUGUUGAAAAAUUAGCGGAUGACUUGUGGCUGGGGGUGAAAGGCCAAUCAAACCGGGAGAUAGCUGGUUCUCCCCGAAAGCUAUUUAGGUAGCGCCUCGUGAAUUCAUCUCCGGGGGUAGAGCACUGUUUCGGCAAGGGGGUCAUCCCGACUUACCAACCCGAUGCAAACUGCGAAUACCGGAGAAUGUUAUCACGGGAGACACACGGCGGGUGCUAACGUCCGUCGUGAAGAGGGAAACAACCCAGACCGCCAGCUAAGGUCCCAAAGUCAUGGUUAAGUGGGAAACGAUGUGGGAAGGCCCAGACAGCCAGGAUGUUGGCUUAGAAGCAGCCAUCAUUUAAAGAAAGCGUAAUAGCUCACUGGUCGAGUCGGCCUGCGCGGAAGAUGUAACGGGGCUAAACCAUGCACCGAAGCUGCGGCAGCGACGCUUAUGCGUUGUUGGGUAGGGGAGCGUUCUGUAAGCCUGCGAAGGUGUGCUGUGAGGCAUGCUGGAGGUAUCAGAAGUGCGAAUGCUGACAUAAGUAACGAUAAAGCGGGUGAAAAGCCCGCUCGCCGGAAGACCAAGGGUUCCUGUCCAACGUUAAUC
rnacentral:rRNA from 1 species